GUGAAUCAUCGAAUUUUUGAACGCAAAUUGCGCCUUUUUCGGAAGGCAUGUCUGUUUGAGGGCACCAUUUAACAAAUAAUGUGCAGCGUUUUUUGUUGCACACGUUGAUGAGCUUUCCAAAUUUAUGUAUUUUUUUUGGUGCGGCUUAUUAAACAGGGGGUGGUUUUUUUUAGUUUGUGGGGUG
rnacentral:misc_RNA from 1 species